ensembl:lncRNA PAXIP1-AS2 PAXIP1 antisense RNA 2
CUUAAAGCCCUAAAUGGCGGCUUCAAUAUCAGUCCCACUGAGCAUGAAAUUCAUUUACUUAAAUAAAAUCUGAAUCUCAGCCCAAACCUGGGAGAUUCAAAACCUGAGAGCGGUCUUACCAAAGACGCCCGUAUGUCUGGUGAAGUCAGUUGGAUGCAAGCAGUUUGUGCUGGUACCAGGGCCCCAGCUACUGAUGAAGUGGCAGGAGUCCACAGAAGCCUACUUCGAAGUUCCCGGGGCUUCCAGGGGAGAUUGACGAGAUUCCUGGGGAGGCGAUUCAUGACAGCUGAGUUCCUUUUGGAGGAUCCGUCUUCAGGCAGUCUGAUCCCCCAGGAAAGCAGCUGGAAAACAAGAGCAUGUGAAGGAAGCGCAGCAGCUCCUCGCCAGCCAGACAGCCAGCCCCGCACCGCAGGAGUCGACAUGCACGGCAGCCUAGACGCCAUCAGUUAAACUUAUAUGUAGGCUUGUUGAGGAAAACGACUUUCAAACACAAGGCAAAAGAAAAACAUGAAACCAAGGGUUCCAACAUUCAUCAUCCAGUUUCAGAGACACCCUUGAAGGAAUGCUACAGCCUCUUUCUUACCCAUUCAAACCAGUCGCUCUGCUGCAUACCCACAUCACAGGAGGCCCUCAGCCCCGACACACAGGCUCACUCAGCCCGGGGACAUCAGCACCUGUGCCAGCUCCGCAAGGUAUCCACCAUGCGGCCAGAACUGAGGCCCAGCAAUAGCUGAAAUGUCCUUUAAAUUAACAUGUACAACACACAACCCCCAAGAGCUGACAUCCCCAAAGCCCCACCACAAAUAGCUGACUCCUACUUAUACCUGCAGGAGCAGGUAGUGACCUCUGCAAUUCUAAACCGUCCACUUUGGGCAAAAUUCAUCAAGCUAUGGAUAUGAAAAAAGGCCCCCAAGGUAAUACUCAUAAGUCUCCUGUAUGACUUUUAAAGCAAUUUCUUCUGAAAGUAAAUGUAGUGUAGAACAGGCUUUCACAAAUACAAACAUGAAUGUUAGGAAAAAGUCUGGAAAAAAUGCAAGAGUACAUGUUGUAUAAAAACCAAAUGCUUAUAGCAUAUCUGUAAAAAUUUAACAGGCCUCUUAUCAUUCCUAUCAGUAGCUCCUACAAUAAUUUUCUAAUAGAUGGCGGUAUGGAAUACAGCAAGCUCUGGUAUGAAUGGUAAGAGCGUUUCUGCACCAAGCCUCAUUCCAACUAGACAGGCUAUUUAUUUAUGGCUAAACAUGACAUUGGAUUCUGGGACUGAGGCAAAUUUUACUUCUUUUUUUUUUUUUUUUUUUUUAAAGACAGAGUUUCGCUCUUGUUGCCCAGGCUGUAGUGCAAUGGCGCGAUAUUGGCUCACUGCAACCCCUGCCUCCCAGGUUCAAGUGAUUCUCCUGCCUCACCAAGUAGCUGUGAUUACAGGUACCCGCCACCAUGGCCAGCUAAUUUUUUCUAUUUUUAGUAGAGCCAGGGUUUCACCAUGUUGGCCAGGCUGGUCUCGAACUCCUGAUCUCAGGUGAUCCACCUGUCUUGGCCUCCCGUGCUGGGAUUAUAGGCAUGAGCCACCACGUCCGGCCAAAUUUUACUUCUUAAAAGUGCUUUUCUCUCAGUGAUAUCAAGGUCUUCUGUCUACUAUUAUAACCAUAAGCUCUUUAGCGUUAAGAGGAAAAUGUUUGAUAAAUGUAAUUAACUGGA